rnacentral:tRNA from 1 species
GGGGGUUUAGCUCAGCGGCAUAAGCACCUGCUUUGUAAGCAGACAGCGUCAGUUCAAUCCCCA